AGAGUUUGAUCCUGGCUCAGGACGAACGCUGGCGGCGUGCUUAACACAUGCAAGUCGAACGGAAAGGCCCUUCGGGGUACUCGAGUGGCGAACGGGUGAGUAACACGUGGGUGAUCUGCCCUGCACUUUGGGAUAAGCCUGGGAAACUGGGUCUAAUACCGAAUAUGAUCAUGGCCUUCAUGGGUUGUGGUGGAAAGCUUUUGCGGUGUGGGAUGGGCCCGCGGCCUAUCAGCUUGUUGGUGGGGUAAUGGCCUACCAAGGCGACGACGGGUAGCCGGCCUGAGAGGGUGUCCGGCCACACUGGGACUGAGAUACGGCCCAGACUCCUACGGGAGGCAGCAGUGGGGAAUAUUGCACAAUGGGCGCAAGCCUGAUGCAGCGACGCCGCGUGAGGGACGACGGCCUUCGGGUUGUAAACCUCUUUCAGCACAGACGAAGCGCAAGUGACGGUAUGUGCAGAAGAAGGACCGGCCAACUACGUGCCAGCAGCCGCGGUAAUACGUAGGGUCCGAGCGUUGUCCGGAAUUACUGGGCGUAAAGAGCUCGUAGGUGGUUUGUCGCGUUGUUCGUGAAAACUCACAACUCAAUUGUGGGCGUGCGGGCGAUACGGGCAGACUGGAGUACUGCAGGGGAGACUGGAAUUCCUGGUGUAGCGGUGGAAUGCGCAGAUAUCAGGAGGAACACCGGUGGCGAAGGCGGGUCUCUGGGCAGUAACUGACGCUGAGGAGCGAAAGCGUGGGGAGCGAACAGGAUUAGAUACCCUAGUAGUCC
rnacentral:rRNA from 1 species